rnacentral:rRNA from 2 species
UUAAGCGACUAAGCGUACACGGUGGAUGCCCUGGCAGUCAGAGGCGAUGAAGGACGUGCUAAUCUGCGAUAAGCGUCGGUAAGGUGAUAUGAACCGUUAUAACCGGCGAUUUCCGAAUGGGGAAACCCAGUGUGUUUCGACACACUAUCAUUAACUGAAUCCAUAGGUUAAUGAGGCGAACCGGGGGAACUGAAACAUCUAAGUACCCCGAGGAAAAGAAAUCAACCGAGAUUCCCCCAGUAGCGGCGAGCGAACGGGGAGGAGCCCAGAGCCUGAAUCAGUGUGUGUGUUAGUGGAAGCGUCUGGAAAGGCGCGCGAUACAGGGUGACAGCCCCGUACACAAAAAUGCACAUGCUGUGAGCUCGAUGAGUAGGGCGGGACACGUGGUAUCCUGUCUGAAUAUGGGGGGACCAUCCUCCAAGGCUAAAUACUCCUGACUGACCGAUAGUGAACCAGUACCGUGAGGGAAAGGCGAAAAGAACCCCGGCGAGGGGAGUGAAAAAGAACCUGAAACCGUGUACGUACAAGCAGUGGGAGCCUCUUAAUGGGGUGACUGCGUACCUUUUGUAUAAUGGGUCAGCGACUUAUAUUCUGUAGCAAGGUUAACCGAAUAGGGGAGCCGAAGGGAAACCGAGUCUUAACUGGGCGUUAAGUUGCAGGGUAUAGACCCGAAACCCGGUGAUCUAGCCAUGGGCAGGUUGAAGGUUGGGUAACACUAACUGGAGGACCGAACCGACUAAUGUUGAAAAAUUAGCGGAUGACUUGUGGCUGGGGGUGAAAGGCCAAUCAAACCGGGAGAUAGCUGGUUCUCCCCGAAAGCUAUUUAGGUAGCGCCUCGUGAAUUCAUCUCCGGGGGUAGAGCACUGUUUCGGCAAGGGGGUCAUCCCGACUUACCAACCCGAUGCAAACUGCGAAUACCGGAGAAUGUUAUCACGGGAGACACACGGCGGGUGCUAACGUCCGUCGUGAAGAGGGAAACAACCCAGACCGCCAGCUAAGGUCCCAAAGUCAUGGUUAAGUGGGAAACGAUGUGGGAAGGCCCAGACAGCCAGGAUGUUGGCUUAGAAGCAGCCAUCAUUUAAAGAAAGCGUAAUAGCUCACUGGUCGAGUCGGCCUGCGCGGAAGAUGUAACGGGGCUAAACCAUGCACCGAAGCUGCGGCAGCGACACUAUGUGUUGUUGGGUAGGGGAGCGUUCUGUAAGCCUGUGAAGGUGGCCUGUGAGGGUUGCUGGAGGUAUCAGAAGUGCGAAUGCUGACAUAAGUAACGAUAAAGCGGGUGAAAAGCCCGCUCGCCGGAAGACCAAGGGUUCCUGUCCAACGUUAAUCGGGGCAGGGUGAGUCGACCCCUAAGGCGAGGCCGAAAGGCGUAGUCGAUGGGAAACAGGUUAAUAUUCCUGUACUUGGUGUUACUGCGAAGGGGGGACGGAGAAGGCUAUGUUGGCCGGGCGACGGUUGUCCCGGUUUAAGCGUGUAGGCUGGUUUUCCAGGCAAAUCCGGAAAACCAAGGCUGAGGCGUGAUGACGAGGCACUACGGUGCUGAAGUGACAAAUGCCCUGCUUCCAGGAAAAGCCUCUAAGCAUCAGGUAACAUCAAAUCGUACCCCAAACCGACACAGGUGGUCAGGUAGAGAAUACCAAGGCGCUUGAGAGAACUCGGGUGAAGGAACUAGGCAAAAUGGUGCCGUAACUUCGGGAGAAGGCACGCUGAUAUGUAGGUGAAGCGACUUGCUCGUGGAGCUGAAAUCAGUCGAAGAUACCAGCUGGCUGCAACUGUUUAUUAAAAACACAGCACUGUGCAAACACGAAAGUGGACGUAUACGGUGUGACGCCUGCCCGGUGCCGGAAGGUUAAUUGAUGGGGUUAGCGGUAACGCGAAGCUCUUGAUCGAAGCCCCGGUAAACGGCGGCCGUAACUAUAACGGUCCUAAGGUAGCGAAAUUCCUUGUCGGGUAAGUUCCGACCUGCACGAAUGGCGUAAUGAUGGCCAGGCUGUCUCCACCCGAGACUCAGUGAAAUUGAACUCGCUGUGAAGAUGCAGUGUACCCGCGGAAAGACGGAAAGACCCCGUGAACCUUUACUAUAGCUUGACACUGAACAUUGAGCCUUGAUGUGUAGGAUAGGUGGGAGGCUUUGAAGUGUGGACGCCAGUCUGCAUGGAGCCGACCUUGAAAUACCACCCUUUAAUGUUUGAUGUUCUAACGUUGGCCCCUAAUCGGGGUUGCGGACAGUGUCUGGUGGGUAGUUUGACUGGGGCGGUCUCCUCCUAAAGAGUAACGGAGGAGCACGAAGGUUGGCUAAUCCUGGUCGGACAUCAGGAGGUUAGUGCAAUGGCAUAAGCCAGCUUGACUGCGAGCGUGACGGCGCGAGCAGGUGCGAAAGCAGGUCAUAGUGAUCCGGUGGUUCUGAAUGGAAGGGCCAUCGCUCAACGGAUAAAAGGUACUCCGGGGAUAACAGGCUGAUACCGCCCAAGAGUUCAUAUCGACGGCGGUGUUUGGCACCUCGAUGUCGGCUCAUCACAUCCUGGGGCUGAAGUAGGUCCCAAGGGUAUGGCUGUUCGCCAUUUAAAGUGGUACGCGAGCUGGGUUUAGAACGUCGUGAGACAGUUCGGUCCCUAUCUGCCGUGGGCGCUGGAGAACUGAGGGGGGCUGCUCCUAGUACGAGAGGACCGGAGUGGACGUAUCACUGGUGUUCGGGUUGUCAUGCCAAUGGCACUGCCCGGUAGCUAAAUGCGGAAGAGAUAAGUGCUGAAAGCAUCUAAGCACGAAACUUGCCCCGAGAUGAGUUCUCCCUGAGACUUAGAGUCUCCUGAAGGAACGUUGAAGACGACGACGUUGAUAGGCCGGGUGUGUAAGCGCAGCGAUGCGUUGAGCUAACCGGUACUAAUGAACCGUGAGGCUUAACCUU